GGAGCUAUAAUACUAAUUUCUGAAUUAGUCAUUGGUAAUUCAAUGCCAACCUCCACAGGGUGGACUAAGGUUGAGGUAUAGAAUCCUAUUCGCUCCUGGUAGGAGAAAUUCUAUAUUGCUUAUAUACGUGCUUGUGCACGUAUAUAAAUGCUCAUGCAAAAUUGCAUGAAUGCCCCUAAGGGAGC
rfam:3' end of alfalfa mosaic virus RNA 1.